rnacentral:lncRNA from 1 species
AUGAAGAUUUUUUGCUACAUUGUAUAUAUGUCAAAAUUUUAAAGCAAUAAUAUUAUACCUAUUUGUAUUUGUUUUUAUUUCAGCUUGAUUCCAAUCUUUGGCAAUGGCUAAUACAAGAAAAGGCAAGGCAUACAUGUAUAUGUACAAUACAUGAUUCUCUGUAGCAAUUGGAUUGUCUAUUCACCCCUAUAGUUCCACAACAACAAUGAAACUCUAGACUACUACAUGUAUGAUGUUAUGAAGAUAUUUACAUAUACCUACAUGUACAUCUACAAAAAUGAUCCAUUUUGAAGAUUGUUUAUGCCAGGUCUAAUGAUCAGGUCGACUAGUACAACAAGUUUUGAUUCAGCUUUCUGACAGGAAUUAUUUAUAAACUUGCCAGCAGUUACAACAAAUGAAUAUUAUUAAUUGAGUUAAAAA